AAUUUCUACUAAUUGACUAAACUAACAACUUGUGCACUGAAAACUGGGUGUUAUUAUCUAAGUUCCCUAGAGUGUGACAUGUCACCUGGAAUAUUUAUAAUAUGUGGGUUUUAAUUAUGAGACAAAUAACAGCUAAAUAAGAUAACUUUAAGAUAAAGUUAUGAUAAAAAAUGUUUACAGUUGUUAUGUUUUCAAUUGUAAUGGAUUACUUUUCAAAGUAAUUGUAAUUAUAAUCAAUUACAUUUCUAAAUAGAUGUAAUUGUAAUCAUAAAUUUCAAUGUAAUCUGUAAUUAUAAUCGAUUACUUUGAAUGUAAUUGACCCCAUGUCUGACACUGUAUCUAUUAUGUUUAUAUUCAUAUAUUGUGUACACUGUAUCUAUUAUGUUUAUAUUCAUAUAUUGUGUACACUGUAUCUAUUAUGUUUAUAUUCAUAUAUUGUGUACACUGUAUCUAUUAUGGCACUUUCAGUGAUGGAAACCUUGUGAUUUUGGUACAGUGGACACUGUCAGUACUGGUUUUUGUUAGAUAUGGUUGUUAUAUAUUAAUUAUACCUUAAGACACUUCAUUCUAAAUGUAUGAUUGAUGAAUACCACAAAUUUUCAUUAAAUUAAUUUUCCCCAUUUUCUAGUUUUGCUGCUAUUUUUCCCAAUUGUAAGGACCCCGGGCCCCAUGGAAUUUUGUGUGUUUAUUUGCUGACGUGAUGCGCAAAGAAAUUAAAUGAAUAAUCUUCCGAUAACUGAAUCCUCGCGUCUUGGAAGAUAGAUCUGGGAAAUAAAGUUGUAAGAGGUUAAAAUUGUAUCAAGAUAUUGCAGCAAUACCUUGCUCACUCUGUGGAUAAAGUACACUGUCGACAUUGUGGGUGGUGCUGUGAUUUAGCUGAACAUGGCUCAAUCAGAUCAUUUGAUGGAGCACGUGAACUUGUGUUUAUACCACCCCAUACAUGAACUUUGUUCUGAAAAGCAACAAUAGUUGCUGAUUUUGAUGGAGGGAAUACAGCGGUUCCACCUUUUCAAUGAAAUUAAUACAUAUUAUGAUCAGUGAUAUGGUAUACAUUUCAUUGUUAUACAUGUACAAAUGAGGGUUAUCUUCAAAGAUGAUAAAUCGAAAGGAAAUUUCAUGUCUAAUUUGAGAAAUCUGGGACAGGCUAAGGAGCCUCUCUGCAAUUUUAGCAUCGCCUAUGGUAUGACACAAAAGAAAGGCAGAGAAACAAAGAGAAAUGGAAGAAACAAAGGGAAAAAUCCCCUAGAAAGACAGCCUCUGAGGAGUUCAAAUAUUCCUGGUGAGGGGUCCAACCUGGGACAGAAGAGUCAUCAAAAUAAGGAAGGAAGACAAAAACAUAAAUAGUGAUUAAGACUUCGGGCAAGGCGAAGGUUUUUAAUGAGCUACAUGUAUAUACUAUUUUUUUAAAAAUACAAAUGCAGACAGCUUGCUAAACAAAUUGGAUGAGUGAAAACCCAACCCCAAAAUUAAAAUACGGAUUUCUAAAAUGAUAAUGGAUGAAGGGACUAGAACUUGAGGAUUUUCAGAAUCUCAGAAAAAAACAUUGUAGACUCAAUAUUAGGUUGGUUGGUUGUAUAUUUUGUUGUUUAACGUCCCGCUCGAGAAUUUUUCACACAUAUGGAGAGUUAACAUUGCCGGUGAAGGACUGCAAAAUUUAGGCCUAUGCUUGGCGCUUACAGCCUUUGGGCAGAGAGGGAUAUUUAUCGUGCCACACCUGCUGUUUUUAAAGACUAUAUAUUCUGAAGUUCAAUUGUAAAAGUUAACCUCU